AUCCAGCUGACGAGUCCCAAAUGGGACGAAACGCUCGUCCUGGAU
rfam:Schistosoma margrebowiei strain Zambia genome assembly, scaffold: SMRZ_contig0004090